AAACGGCGUUUUUUAUCCGGCGUGGCAACCUUAUUGAGACGACGUCGUUUCAAUCAUCUGGGUUCUCAAACAAAUUAAAGAGCGCGUUUUUGGUGUCAACACUUGCUUGUUUACGAAGUAAAAAUAAAAACUUUGAGGAACUGAAGCGUCGAACACUCACUGGUGAUGUAGGGUUUGCAGUUUCAGUUUCCAUUGAGAAGAAAUUGUUCCAGAAGAGAUUAAAGAAGCUGCGGGGAUAGACAUUUGAAGAACGGUUUCUUGGUGCGUUGAAGAAUGGAGGAAGAGUACUUUAAAGUGAAAGUGCACCAUAGUGGUAAGUUUGUCAAAGGGAAAAAAGUUACCUACGAAGGGAAGGACUGUGAGUGGGAAUGUAUGAUAUGUGGUCAUAUUUUGAGAUAACUGGUAUCAUAGAUGAAAAAGGAUAUAAAGAUGUUGAAACUCUUUGGUAUAAGGCUGCAGGCAGGGAUCUGAAUGAUGGUUUGAAACAACUGGUUGAUGAUGCUGGUGCAUUGGAGAUGAUUCGAAUUGCUAAAUGUGAAGGAUGUGUUCAUCUCUAUGUUUUGCACCCUGAGAUUGUUCAUCAUAUUGUUGGAAAUGAAAGGAAUGAUUUACCUGAAAACCAUAUUGCCCAAGACAAUAUUCCUCAAGAAACUCCUAUGGCUGAAGACAAUGUUUCUAUACAAUAGAUGGUUCCGAUGCAACAGAAGAUCUUGAUGUUACUAUAACAUUCGAUGAUCCGGAAGAAGAAACCAAUGACAGAGAAGGGUUCAAUGGGUCAAUGCAAAGAAAAAAGGGAGGGAGAGGAGUUCAACAAGACAGUUGCAAGCAAAGUCAGUCAAAAGCCCACGGGGUAGACCGAAAGUUUCAACUUCUACACCACCAGAAGGUGUAAUACCUCCCCAACCUGAACCUGGAGAAAUUAAUGAUGACAUACACAAAAUAAAGUCCCUCUUCAACAUCAACACAUGGAAAUGGAUGGUGAUACAUGCAACUCAAGAGGAAUUAAACACCGAAUCAGAAGUUUAGGAUGGGUAAAAAAAAAUUAGACAACAACACCCAAUGUUAGACAACAAGACCUGAAAGAUCACAAGUGGGUAAUAGGAACUUUGUUUCCAACUAAAGAUGAGUUCAAGGAGGCUGUCAUGACAUAUGGUGUCCAAUCAGGCAGAAAUGUUAAGUUUGACAGGAAUGACAAGGAAAGGGUAAGAGUUGGGUGUAAGGAAGGAUGUCGGUGGUCAAUUUAUUUAGCAAAGAAUAAAAAUGAAAAAACAUGGCAGAUAAGGACAUUGAAGGAUGAACAUACUUGUAGCAGGGAGUGUAGAGUUACAAUGAUGAAAUCAAAAUGGCUAAGCAAGAGAUUAGUGAAUGGUGUUAGAGAAAAGCCAAACACCCACCCAAUCCCAACCACCUCCACCAACACCAACCCAAACCCAGCAAGGUCAACCCUUUAGGUCAAAGCUGCAAGCAAGGAGGAAAGUUUGAAGGGAGCCUUUUGGUAGCAAUUAUGGACAAAUUAUUGGCAACCUUUUAUGUUUAGUUUUUUUGGAUGACUGGUUUAUGGUAGUAAUUAUGGACAAAAUGUUGGCUACCUUUUAUGUUUAGUUUUUUUGGAGGACUGGUUUAUGGUAGCAAUUAUGGACAAAUUGUUGGCUACCUUUUUAAGUUUAUCUCUGUGAUGACUAGUUUAUGGUACCAAUUAUGGACAAAUUGAUGGCCUCCUUUUAUGUUUAGUUUUUGGAUGAAUUGUUGUGGACCUCUUUAAUAUGAAUAUCAAUUCG